rnacentral:rRNA from 1 species
UACGUAGGGGGCUAGCGUUAUCCGGAAUUACUGGGCGUAAAGGGUGCGUAGGUGGUUUCUUAAGUCAGAGGUGAAAGGCUACGGCUCAACCGUAGUAAGCCUUUGAAACUGGGAAACUUGAGUGCAGGAGAGGAGAGUGGAAUUCCUAGUGUAGCGGUGAAAUGCGUAGAUAUUAGGAGGAACACCAGUUGCGAAGGCGGCUCUCUGGACUGUAACUGACACUGAGGCACGAAAGCGUGGGGAGCAAACAGGAUUAGAUACCC